rnacentral:rRNA from 1 species
UACGUAGGGUGCAAGCGUUAAUCGGAAUUACUGGGCGUAAAGCGUGCGCAGGCGGUUGUGCAAGACCGAUGUGAAAUCCCCGGGCUUAACCUGGGAAUGGCAUUGGUGACUGCACGGCUAGAGUGUGUCAGAGGGGGGUAGAAUUCCACGUGUAGCAGUGAAAUGCGUAGAGAUGUGGAGGAACACCGAUGGCGAAGGCAGGUCUCUGGGCCGAUACUGACGCUGAGGAGCGAAAGCGUGGGGAGCGAACAGG